GGGGAAUAUUGGACAAUGGGCGCAAGCCUGAUCCAGCCAUGCCGCGUGGGUGAAGAAGGCCUUCGGGUUGUAAAGCCCUUUUGUUGGGAAAGAAAAGCAGCCGGCCAAUACCCGGUUGUUCUGACGGUACCCAAAGAAUAAGCACCGGCUAACUUCGUGCCAGCAGCCGCGGUAAUACGAAGGGUGCAAGCGUUACUCGGAAUCACUGGGCGUAAAGAGCACGUAGGCGGCCUUGCAAGUCAGAUGUGAAAUCCAACGGCUUAACCGUUGAACUGCAUUUGAAACUGCAAGGCUAGAGUAUGGGAGAGGUAGGUGGAAUUCUCGGUGUAGGGGUAAAAUCCGUAGAGAUCGAGAGGAAUACUCAUUGCGAAGGCGACCUGCUGGAACAUUACUGACGCUGAGGUGCGAAAGCGUGGGGAGCAAACA
rnacentral:rRNA from 1 species